AAAAAGACAAACCCUGCGUUUCCGUGUUCAACGACGUUUGACUGUUCGUCUUAUAUGAAUUUUUUUUAAAUUAGUAUUUUCAUUGUUGUGAGAUGAUAAAACAUGAUUAAUACUUUAUGCGUGACUUUGUUUUUUUUAAUUUUUUCCAUAAUUUUUUUAAAUAAGACGGAUGGUCAAACGUUGGACAUGGAAACCCAGGGUUUGUCUUUUU
rfam:Oryza barthii chromosome 5, whole genome shotgun sequence.